GAGACACCCUUAUGGAGCAGGACUUCCUUUGAUGGGGCUUUGGUGCUCACUAAGUCUGCCCCUUGAGUGUGUCACU
rnacentral:pre_miRNA from 1 species